UUCCUCUGUUCUCUCUCACUCAGUGUUUGCUGAGUGAAAGGCUGAAGAGAAGUGGGUGUGUAUGUGUGUGUACUUGAGAACAGAUGGCAGCUGGUUAGCCUGGCUAGGACGAGAUUUCCUACCAUGGCAUUGAGGAGGGAGGGGAGAGUGAUGACUCGGAAGGUGAAAACCAAGAGCUGGCACAGAUCGACAGAGAGCGUCGCCGAAACUGUACUUUGACCCCUCUC